AAUUUAGGUGAAUGAAUGAAUCUACUGGUUAGUGGUGAAGACACAGUUUUAACACUUUAUUUGGAGUGAUCCAAUCUAAGCCAGGCAAGUGAGGGAAAUGAUUUUAUUUUAAACCUGCUACACCAAGUUGAUACUUUCGUGCGAGCAGCUAGGCUCCGAUGGUUUGGCCAUGUGGUGAGGAUGCCAGAAGAAAGAAUACCCUACUAUCUUUUGCACUGGAUCCCAAAGCAUGGCAAAAGGUCAAGAGGUAGACCUCGGAAAAACUGGUUGUCAUGUGUCCGGGAGGAAGCAGCAAUCUUCACACUUCACAGUUGUCGAUAACAUCACGAUAGAAGAUGCAGAACAACAAGCAACAAACAGGGUACAUUGGAGCGGCCUAAUACAUCGGUGAAAGGAGUGACUAUGUGGUGCAGGCCACUCCAACGACUAGGAGGAGACCUUUUCAAGUACAAAUGAGUGUAAUGAUGAAUUCAAUAAUUUCAAAAGCGACGGAGGGAUGGAUUCCUCAUCAACUCAGUAUAGAAAUAGAGAGAAAGAGAUUGCGCUGACUGAAGAAGUGGUGACUGGACGAUUCAGAAAUACAAAUCUCCCCCAAAUCUGUACAACACCUUAACAAUUUUAGUUUGAUAGCCCUUAUACAACUCCCUCCGACACACACCAUUUGGGAGUUAAUUCUGCCACAAAAGAAAAACAUGAACCGAUGAGCUGGUUCACUACCCCUCAGCCCUCUUCGACUGUCGAAGAAAUCUUUCAUCUCGCUGCACGCAACAAUCAACAUAGAAGAACUUGUUUUAAUUCUAUGCGCUAACAUUUUGCAGAAUAGGUCUAAAAUACUGUAGGAGAGACGGAACUAUUCCAGUAACUUUCUUGAUCAGCUUUGAAUAGUAUUUCAACAACAUUGGCGAAGUCCAGUUUGCUUGGUUAAAUUUCAAAAUUAUACUGGCUCUACUUGAUGGAAGGCGCGAAUGUAAUGUUCAUGAAUUGUAAGAAAAGCAAGCAAUGUCAGUUAAGAGUUAACUUUUUAUAUCAUGCAUGUACUGUAAGCAAUUCAUUUCAUGCAUAAUAAUGACCCAACCGCAGUCUUUUUUAUUGCACUGGCCAGCAACAGAAGAGGAAACGCUACAAUGGAUCAAAUCUUGGUUUGCGUAUCUGAAAUGACUCCAGUUGCGUGCGUUUCUAUUAUGAACACAAGACUACGGUGUUUAUCCGUCUAUAUCUCCUAAUCUGCUCGUGGGACACUCCUCAAAUUUUGUAUACUAUUGGUUCAAAAGAUUUCUGACAAAUCUGUACAAUUUCCAAUGCUGUCCACCGAGCACUUUUCUCGCAAUAGUCUGUUGAAAAUCGCAAAAUUGAGGCCAAUGACGUGUCUGUAGUAAUGUGAAUGAUGGGAGUAUUGUAUUUGUGUUAGUGUUUUAAUCUAACUACUGAAUUUAUUUGUUUAUCUCAAUAAGA